CACACAAGCCUGCUCCAAUGGCUUCGCGGUUCGAACAGAUGUCGUGUACCGGAUGACCUGUGGACAUGCCUCCAGAGAACAUGGCCUUGUUCGUAACUGUAGGAAUUCCAACAAGGCUUCAUGGUCAUGUGCUUCACGCUGCACCAAGGCAAUUUCCACGGCGCGUACAAACGCUUGUUCACCUUCCGAGCACUCCUGUUGAUUGUUGUCCUGGGAGCCCUGGCGUACAUUAUUUCUUCCAUCGCCAGUCGUGCUCCCCAAGUGAAGACUUAUGAGCCACUCGUCUCCACAUCUACGGAGUCCUCGGCCGAACAGGACAGAAUCACGCGUGUUAGAACAAUUUAUAUUUACGAUACUUUCUGAUUAUAACAUGGUUUUUCGGAAAUAACAAUAAAAACAUUUUUAGCUUCUG